rnacentral:misc_RNA from 1 species
UGGUUCUGGCAUCGAUGAAGAACGCAGCGAAAUGCGAUAAGUAGUGUGAAUUGCAGAAUUCCGCGAACCAUCGAAUCUUUGAACGCACAUUGCGCCCGCUAGCAUUCUAGCGGGCAUGCCUGUUCGAGCGUCAUUUCGACCCUCAGAACGCCGCCCCCCAGGGCGCGCCUUCUGGUGUUGGGGUGCUACGGCGUCUGCGCCGUAGGCCCCGAAAGACUGCUGGCGGACCCGCCUCGCGCCGAGCGUAGUAGCAAUAUCCUCGCUCAGGCCGCGCGGCGGCGCGCCCUGCCACUAAACCUGCGGGCUGCAGCGGGCGCUACGGCGUCCGCGGCAGGCACGCCUUCGCUGGUUGACCUCGGAUCAGGUAGGAAUACCCGCUGA